AUGCAGGUGAUGCUUCUUAGAUUUGUAAUUCUGGGCGGAUCUCCCGAGGAAAGUGCUAGGCUUAAGGCAUCUAGCGAUAUGAAUGAGCUCAUUUCACUCUUAUCUCCUCAAUCGAGGCUAGUCAUUACAUCAUCAGGCGAUGAUCUUCCUUCACAUGGCAUUUUGAAUUCGGAUGCAAUAAUAGUUCAAGUUCUUGUCAAUGAUGUCCAUGUUGAAGACUCAGUAUUGGUUACUGAGUCAUUAGAAAGGAUAGUUGAUGAUUCUGACUUUGAACAUGGUACCCAUCAUCAUAUUGAAGUAUGUUGGUGGUUGGUACCAAUCAUUUUUUGUGAUAGAAGCUUGGCAUGCGUUUUGUCAACUGUUGAAGAAGAGAGGAUUGUCCUAGGCAACUGCAAGUUUUUAAAUCUACCUUCUACUAGGGUUGUCCUGGAUAGUCUACUGUUGAAGAAGACAUUUGUCUAA
rnacentral:rRNA from 1 species